CUGGUCUCUACUGGCUCCUCCUUCCUGAUGAACCGUAAUGCCAUCAAUUUUGGUGUUGCGGGGAGACUGGACUGUUACUUUGAAAAAAUUAGAGUGUUUAAAGCAGGCUAACGCUUGAAUACAUUAGCAUGGAAUAAUGAAAUAGGACGUUCGAUCUUAUUUUGUUGGUUUCUAAGAUUGACGUAAUGAUUAAUAGGGAUAGUUGGGGGCAUUAGUAUUCAAUUGUCAGAGGUGAAAUUCUUGGAUUUAUUGAAGACUAACUACUGCGAAAGCAUUUGCCAAGGAUGUUUUCAUUAAUCAAGAACGAAAGUUAGGGGAUCGAAGACGAUCAGAUACCGUCGUAGUCUUAACCAUAAACUAUGCCGACUAGGGAUCGGAUGAUGUUAAUUUUUUAAUGACC
rnacentral:rRNA from 1 species